CCUACGGGGGGCAGCAGUGGGGAAUAUUGGGCAAUGGGCGCAAGCCUGACCCAGCAACGCCGCGUGAAGGAAGAAGGCUUUCGGGUUGUAAACUUCUUUUGUCAGGGACGAAGCAAGUGACGGUACCUGACGAAUAAGCCACGGCUAACUACGUGCCAGCAGCCGCGGUAAUACGUAGGUGGCAAGCGUUAUCCGGAUUUACUGGGUGUAAAGGGCGUGUAGGCGGGGAAGCAAGUCAGAUGUGAAAACCACGGGCUCAACCUGUGGCCUGCAUCUGAAACUGUUUUUCUUGAGUGCUGGGGAGGCAAUCGGAAUUCCGUGUGUAGCGGGGAAAUGCGGAGAUAUACGGAGGAACACCAGUGGCGAAGGCGGAUUGCUGGACAGUAACUGACGCUGAGGCGCGAAAGCGUGGGGAGCAAACAGGAUUAGAUACCCCGGUAGUC
rnacentral:rRNA from 1 species